UCCUUGGGAUGGAGUAUUGCAGGCUAACUCUGCCCACUGCCAGGAGUUCGAUUCUGACCGGCUCAAGGUUGACUCAGUCUUCCAUCCUUCCGAGCUGAUGGACAAAGGCUAAUUGUCAAGAGAUAAACCUCUUCAGAUGAGAUAAGCAUUGAGACACUGGAGCAGAACUAACCUGAAUUUAAUAAUGUGUUAUUAAACCUGCAAAACUUUUGUCCUUUUUAUACAUCACUAAGCUGUUUUUCAUACAUUAAAAAAAAUUUCAAAAAUGGAAA